rnacentral:rRNA from 1 species
GACGAACGCUGGCGGCGUGCCUAAUACAUGCAAGUAGAACGCACAGUUUAUACCGUAGCUUGCUCCACCAUAGACUGUGAGUUGCGAACGGGUGAGUAACGCGUAGGUAACCUGCCUGGUAGCGGGGGAUAACUAUUGGAAACGAUAGCUAAUACCGCAUAAUAUUGAUUAUUGCAUGAUAAUUGAUUGAAAGAUGCUAUUGCAUCACUACCAGAUGGACCUGCGUUGUAUUAGCUAGUAGGUGAGGUAACGGCUCACCUAGGCGACGAUACAUAGCCGACCUGAGAGGGUGAUCGGCCACACUGGGACUGAGACACGGCCCAGACUCCUACGGGAGGCAGCAGUAGGGAAUCUUCGGCAAUGGACGAAAGUCUGACCGAGCAACGCCGCGUGAGUGAAGAAGGUUUUCGGAUCGUAAAGCUCUGUUGUAAGAGAAGAACGGGUGUGAGAGUGGAAAGUUCACACUGUGACGGUAUCUUACCAGAAAGGGACGGCUAACUACGU